rnacentral:rRNA from 1 species
UACGUAGGGCGCAAGCGUUAUUCGGAAUUAUUGGGCGUAAAGGGCGCGUAGGCGGCCUGGCAAGUGGAAGGUGAAAUCCCUCGGCUUAACCGAGGAACUGCCCUCCAAACUGCUUGGCUUGAGACCGGGAGAGGUGAGUGGAAUUCCCGGUGUAGCGGUGAAAUGCGCAGAUAUCGGGAAGAACACCCGUGGCGAAGGCGGCUCUCUGGGACGGUACUGACGCUGAGACGCGAAAGCGUGGGGAGCGAACAGG